rnacentral:rRNA from 1 species
CAGUCGCCGCGGUAAGACAGAGGAUGCAAGCGUUAUCCGGAAUGAUUGGGCGUAAAGCGUCUGUAGGUGGCUUUUCAAGUCCGCCGUCAAAUCCCAGGGCUCAACCCUGGACAGGCGGUGGAAACUACCAAGCUGGAGUACGGUAGGGGCAGAGGGAAUUUCCGGUGGAGCGGUGAUAUGCGCUGAGAUCGGAAAGAACACCAACGGUGAAAGCACUCUGCUGGGCCGACACUGACACUGAGAGACGAAAGCUAGGGGAGCAAAUGGGAUUAGAUACCCCAGUAGUCCCUGUCUCUUAUAC